rnacentral:tRNA from 1 species
GCUGAUGUAGCUCAGUGGUAGAGCACGUCCUUGGUAAGGACGAGGUCGAGGGUUCAAGUCCCUUCAUCAGCU